UACGUAGGGUGCAAGCGUUAAUCGGAAUACUGGGCGUAAAGCGUGCGCAGGCGGUUUUGUAAGUUUGUCGUGAAAUCCCCGGGCUCAACCUGGGAAUGGCGAUGAAGACUGCAAGGCUAGAAUCUGGCAGAGGGGGGUAGAAUUCCACGUGUAGCAGUGAAAUGCGUAGAGAUGGUGGAGGAACACCAAUUGCGAAGGCAGCCUCGCUGG
rnacentral:rRNA from 1 species